AGUUUGAUUAUGGCUCAGAUUGAACGCUGGCGGGAUGCUUUACACAUGCAAGUCGAACGGCAGCACGGACUUCGGUCUGGUGGCGAGUGGCGAACGGGUGGAGUAAUGUAUCGGAACGUGCCUAGUAGCGGGGGAUAACUACGCGAAAGCGUAGCUAAUACCGCAUACGCCCUUCGGGGGAAAGCGGGGACCUUCGGGCCUCUUCGCACUAGAGCGGCCGAUAUCGGAUUAGCUAGUUGGUGGGGUAACGGCUCACUACAGUGACGAUCCGUAGCUGGUUUGAGAGGACGACCAGCCACAUCGGGACUGGAGAUACGGCCCAGACUCCCACGGGAGGCAGCAGGGAAUUUUGGACAAUGGGGAACCCCGAUCCAGCCGUCCGCGUGUGCGAUGGCCUUCGCUGUA
rnacentral:misc_RNA from 1 species